rnacentral:sRNA from 1 species
GCUGGGCAUAGUGAUGCACACCUGUAAUCCCAGUUGCUCGGGGGCUGAGGCAGGAGGAUCAUGAGUUUAAAGUCAGCCUCAGCAAAGUCAAGGUGCUAAGCAACUCAGUGAGACCCUGUCUUUA